GCCCAUAUGGUGCUUCUCUCGGAGUGCCUUUUCAUAAAUGUGUAUCUCUGCUAAAGCGUACCGGCGACGCAUACAAAGGAGAUGCCGCGUACAUUCAUCUUCAGUAGUGUGCUUUCUUUAAACCACUGGGGAGUUCUGUUAGCAUAUGAACAUGAACGCAUCACUUGGGUGCGUUCUUGUUCUUAAUUUCAUCUUGGGUGUUUUCGCUGGGUUUUCACGUACUGGAACUGAGAUCAGCAGACGCCGAUCGACAGCAGGUGCGAAUGGGCAAGGCGGCAAAGUGUUUGGACGGAGUUGCGGCGGUACCGGUGAUUGCGGUGGCGGAAUAUUCUUUUGUUGUAUGGCACAAGGAGACGGACUUCAAGGGACCUGCCAAAUGACAGGUGUAAAUGGGGAAAGUUGUACAACUGCAUCGUUCUCAACCGCAAAACCCUCGACAAAAACGACUGUUUACGUGGGCGCCUGCCCUUGUCGAACACCGUUCGUGUGUUUCCACAACGUCACUCGCCAGAGAUUUGGAAUUUGUCAGAAAUUAUAAAAUGUGGACAGUAUAUGGGACUCAUAAAAAAAUAAAGCAGAACGGGUUAUUAGACUGCAUCUUGUCUUAGAAAUAAAAUACUUUGCUUCAAGUA